rnacentral:lncRNA from 1 species
CUUUCUAUUCCAGGGAAUUCUUGGUAUGAUAGGACAUGAAAGCUGAGAGAAAACCCUUCUACCUAGGAACUCCGGAGUUUCAACUACCAGAGACUGAAGGCAGGAGAGAAAAACUAAGACAAAUGACUUCAAAGCCUUUCUGAAAUGCCACAGAGGGUCAGGAUUACAAUCUGCCUAUUCUGAUUCUUCUACUAUGGGAAAAAAUCUUUUUCAGAAUUGAUGUAAAGCCUCUGUUAAUACUUUUCCUGUUAACAACCUAACUAUUCAACUGCUGAAUAAAAACCAUUAGGACAACUAAAGAAACUGAGAGAUUUUGGCAAGAAAUAGUCAUUCCAAUAUCAAUGACUACGGAGGAAAUGCAAUUACUUUUCUUUGCUUAAGUUUUCCAGGUUUGUGUUCUUAAGUAUGAGCCACAGCAUUUAUAACAACCCCAGAAUGUACCAUUUUUAUACAAGAAUUAAAUAAUAGCCCAAAUUAAGUAUUUGGCUCUUAGGAAUUUGAGAACUUUUGCAAAAUGAUAUCUUUCAUAAAAAAUAAAUGUUGUAAAACUAUAUAUAUUUAAUAAACCCAUUGCAGUAACCAGCAAAAAUAAAUUUAGCUUUCUGAAA